rnacentral:rRNA from 1 species
UACGUAGGUGGCAAGCGUUAUCCGGAUUUAUUGGGCGUAAAGCGAGCGCAGGCGGUCUUUUAAGUCUGAUGUGAAAGCCUUCGGCUUAACCGGAGUAGUGCAUUGGAAACUGGGAGACUUGAGUGCAGAAGAGGAGAGUGGAACUCCAUGUGUAGCGGUGAAAUGCGUAGAUAUAUGGAAGAACACCAGUGGCGAAAGCGGCUCUCUGGUCUGUAACUGACGCUGAGGUUCGAAAGCGUGGGUAGCAAACAGG